rnacentral:rRNA from 1 species
AACGAACGCUGGCGGCAUGCCUAACACAUGCAAGUCGAACGAGACCUUCGGGUCUAGUGGCGCACGGGUGCGUAACGCGUGGGAACCUGCCCUUAGGUUCGGAAUAACUCCCCGAAAGGGGUGCUAAUACCGGAUAAUGUCUUCGGACCAAAGAUUUAUCGCCUUUGGUUGGGCCCGCGUUGGAUUAGCUAGUUGGUAGGGUAAAAGCCUACCAAGGCGACGAUCCAUAGCUGGUCUGAGAGGAUGAUCAGCCACACUGGGACUGAGACACGGCCCAGACUCAUACGGGAGGCAGCAGUGGGGAAUAUUGGAAAAUGGGCGAAAGCCUGAUCCAGCAAUGCCGCGUGAGUGAUGAAGGCCUUAGGGUUGUAAAGCUCUUUUACCCGGGAUGAUAAUGACAGUACCGGGAGAAUAAGCUCCGGCUAACUCCGUG